AGUCAGCAGAGAGAACAGGCACUGGCUCAUAGACACGGUAGGGUUUGCAUCAGCUGAGCCCCUGGUCUGGGGAGCAGAGAGAAAUACAGACACAUCAGCAGAUGCCUACGUGGGCAGAUACCACUCACAAGGAUUGGAGGGGGGGCUCGUAAAUAACAUCCCUGUCCAGAAAUAAUUGAGAGAGAGAGAAGUUGGGCUGUCUUAAAUCCAAGCACCAUCUGUAUAGGAGAAAAGUGAGAUGGGAGGAUGUGGCUGAAUUCAGUGGAAACCGUGGACCUACUAACAGGGUCAGGCUGUGUCACCCAGCCUGGAGUGCAGUGGUGGAAUCACAACUCACUGCACCCUCAACCUUUUUGAGCUCACGCCAUCCUCCUAUCCCAGCCUUCCGAGUAGCUUGGACUACAGGCAUGCACCACCACACCUGGCUGUCUGCCUAGAGAAGCCACAAUCCUUGCUGAGGCCCUAGCUCGCCUGGCUGGGGGGAAGAUUCCUAUGGCGUUGGAAGCUCUCGUCCCCGGGAGACCUGCAGAACACCUGGUGGAAAGGAGGAGAGGUGGGGCCAUGCCAACGGCUUACCUGAUG